rnacentral:rRNA from 1 species
GAUGAACGCUAGCGGCAGGCCUAACACAUGCAAGUCGAGGGAGGAGCUUUCGGGCUUCGACCGGCGUACGGGUGCGUAACGCGUAUACAAUCUGCCUUUCACAUAGGGAUAGCCCGAAGAAAUUUGGAUUAAUACCUAAUGUUAUAUCGGAGUGGCAUCACAUUUAUAUUAAAGCUGAGGCGGUGAAAGAUGAGUAUGCGUUCUAUUAGCUAGUUGGAGAGGUAACGGCUCCCCAAGGCGACGAUAGCUAGGGGUGCUGAGAUGGAUAUCCCCCACACUGGUACUGCGAUACAGACCAGUCUGCUACGGGGGGGAGCGGUGAGGACUAUUGGGCACUGGACGGAAGACUGAUACAGCCGUGCGGCGUGCAGGAAGACGGCGUUAUGAGUUGUAAGCUGCUUUUGAAGGGGAAGAAUAAGGACUACGAGUAGUUUGAUGACGGUACUCUGCGAAUAAGCAUCGGCUAACUCCGUG